rnacentral:lncRNA from 1 species
AUUUGCUUGAGCUAACCUAUUUGGAUCAAUUGACCUAUUGGUGUCUAAAGUAAGUAAUUGAGAAGUGAUUAUUUAAUUAUUUCGUUGGCUGAUCUGAUCAAUUUAUUGGUGUCUAAGAAAAGCAACGGGGGGACUCCCACCGAUCUCUACUUAUCUAGCCAAUUUGGAAGAUUGAGUCUUGAAUGAGGUUGCUUGGCGGUUUGGUUUAGCCUAUACCAAUU